GACGUAGGGCGCGAGCGUUGUCCGGAUUUAUUGGGCGUAAAGAGCUCGUAGGCGGUUUGUUGCGUCGGCUGUGAAAUCCCGAGGCUCAACCUCGGGUCUGCAGUCGAUACGAGCAAACUAGAGUGUUGCAGGGGAGACUGGAAUUCCUGGUGUAGCGGUGAAAUGCGCAGAUAUCAGGAGGAACACCGGUGGCGAAGGCGGAUCUCUGGACAGUUACUGACACUGAGGCACGAAGGCCAGGGGAGCAAACGGG
rnacentral:rRNA from 1 species